UUGGAAUGAUGGGAAUGUAAAACCCUUCCAGAGUAACAAUUGGAGGGCAAGUCUGGUGCCAGCAGCCGCGGUAAUUCCAGCUCCAAUAGUGUAUAUUAGAGUUGUUGCAGUUAAAAAGCUCGUAGUUGGAUUUCUGUCCUGGUCAGUCUGCACUGCCUGUAUGGGUGUGUGCGUGGUUUGACCGCGGCUUUUUUCUGGUUUCCUCCCGCGCUUAACUGCGUGGGGAGGUUUUCUGGAACUUUUACUUUGAGAAAAAUAGAGUGUUUCAAGCAGGCUUGUCGCCCUGAAUACUGCAGCAUGGAAUAAUAAGAUAGGACCUCGGUUCUAUUUUGUUGGUUUCUGGAA
rnacentral:rRNA from 1 species